rnacentral:rRNA from 1 species
AGAUGGCGACCGGCGCACGGGUGAGUAACACGUAUCCAACCUGCCGAUAACUCGGGGAUAGCCUUUCGAAAGAAAGAUUAAUACCCGAUGGUAUAAUCAGACCGCAUGGUUUGAUUAUUAAAGAAUUUCGGUUAUCGAUGGGGAUGCGUUCCAUUAGGCAGUUGGUGGGGUAACGGCUCACCAAACCUUCGAUGGAUAGGGGUUCUGAGAGGAAGGUCCCCCACAUUGGAACUGAGACACGGUCCAA